AGAGUUUGAUCAUGGCUCAGAUUGAACGCUGGCGGCAGGCCUAACACAUGCAAGUCGAACGGUAACAGGAAGCAGCUUGCUGCUUCGCUGACGAGUGGCGGACGGGUGAGUAAUGUCUGGGAAACUGCCUGAUGGAGGGGGAUAACUACUGGAAACGGUAGCUAAUACCGCAUAAUGUCGCAAGACCAAAGAGGGGGACCUUCGGGCCUCUUGCCAUCGGAUGUGCCCAGAUGGGAUUAGCUUGUUGGUGGGGUAACGGCUCACCAAGGCGACGAUCCCUAGCUGGUCUGAGAGGAUGACCAGCCACACUGGAACUGAGACACGGUCCAGACUCCUACGGGAGGCAGCAGUGGGGAAUAUUGCACAAUGGGCGCAAGCCUGAUGCAGCCAUGCCGCGUGUAUGAAGAAGGCCUUCGGGUUGUAAAGUACUUUCAGCGGGAGGAAGGGAGUAAAGUUAAUACCUUUGCUCAUUGACGUUACCCGCAGAAGAAGCACCGGCUAACUCCGUGCCAGCAGCCGCGGUAAUACGGAGGGUGCAAGCGUUAAUCGGAAUUACUGGGCGUAAAGCGCACGCAGGCGGUUUGUUAAGUCAGAUGUGAAAUCCCCGGGCUCAACCUGGGAACUGCAUCUGAUACUGGCAAGCUUGAGUCUCGUAGAGGGGGGUAGAAUUCCAGGUGUAGCGGUGAAAUGCGUAGAGAUCUGGAGGAAUACCGGUGGCGAAGGCGGCCCCCUGGACGAAGACUGACGCUCAGGUGCGAAAGCGUGGGGAGCAAACAGGAUUAGAUACCCUGGUAGUCCACGCCGUAAACGAUGUCGACUUGGAGGUUGUGCCCUUGAGGCGUGGCUUCCGGAGCUAACGCGUUAAGUCGACCGCCUGGGGAGUACGGCCGCAAGGUUAAAACUCAAAUGAAUUGACGGGGGCCCGCACAAGCGGUGGAGCAUGUGGUUUAAUUCGAUGCAACGCGAAGAACCUUACCUGGUCUUGACAUCCACGGAAGUUUUCAGAGAUGAGAAUGUGCCUUCGGGAACCGUGAGACAGGUGCUGCAUGGCUGUCGUCAGCUCGUGUUGUGAAAUGUUGGGUUAAGUCCCGCAACGAGCGCAACCCUUAUCCUUUGUUGCCAGCGGUCCGGCCGGGAACUCAAAGGAGACUGCCAGUGAUAAACUGGAGGAAGGUGGGGACGACGUCAAGUCAUCAUGGCCCUUACGACCAGGGCUACACACGUGCUACAAUGGCGCAUACAAAGAGAAGCGACCUCGCGAGAGCAAGCGGACCUCAUAAAGUGCGUCGUAGUCCGGAUUGGAGUCUGCAACUCGACUCCAUGAAGUCGGAAUCGCUAGUAAUCGUGGAUCAGAAUGCCACGGUGAAUACGUUCCCGGGCCUUGUACACACCGCCCGUCACACCAUGGGAGUGGGUUGCAAAAGAAGUAGGUAGCUUAACCUUCGGGAGGGCGCUUACCACUUUGUGAUUCAUGACUGGGGUGAAGUCGUAACAAGGUAACCGUAGGGGAACCUGCGGUUGGAUCACCU
rnacentral:rRNA from 1 species